AGGAAAGCAUUAUGUGUAAAAAACAUAAUGUAAUUUUUUAUAGCUGCGGCAAGUUAUCUAUAAUAGAAUCUAGAGUUCUUGGGAUAGCAAAGAAGAUGGGUAUGACUAACCUGUUUUCUUUUUUAUUAGCGAUUUACUCGCAUGACGUCCCACAUAGAAUACAGAUAAUGACUGUUAUCUGUGUGAUAGUCUUGACUAAAACACGUGCCAGCAGUCGCGGUAACACGGUACAGACGAGUGUUAUUCAUCUUUAAUAGGUUUAAAGGGUACCUAGACGGUAGAUUUAACCCCCACUGGGCUGGACGGGUAUACUUUUGCUAGAGUUUUAUGUGAGAGGGAUUUAGUACUAUCGGAGUAGAGAUGAUAUUUGUUGAUACUGUAGGGCACUGAUAAUGGCGAAGGCGAACCUUUAUGUAAAAACUGACGUUGAGGGACGAAGGCUUGGGUAACAAACAGGAUUAGGUACCCUAAUAGUCCAUGCAGAGACUGAUGAGUGCCAUAGAUUAGAUUAUAUUUGGUCUAUAAAUGAAAGUGAAAGCAUUCCACCUUAAGAGUAAUGCGGCAACGCAGGAACUGAAAUCAUUAGACCGUUUCUGAUACCAGUAGUGAAGUAUGUUGUUUAAUUCGAUGAUCCACGAAAAAUCUUACCACAAUUUGAAUAUUAUAGUAACUAAAGGAAAGUCUUUUAAUAAUUAUAUUAUUAUUAGAUGAAAGUGCUAUCAAUACAGGUGUUGCAUGGCUGUCUUCAGUUGGUGUCGUGAGGCUCGGGCAAUAGCCUGAUCGAAACAACGUGAACCCGAAUUUUAUUUCAAUUGGCAUUGCCAAUUACAUAGAGUGUAGUAUUAUUCAUCCCCAACCUUUUUAACGCAGUUUAGGCGAGGGGAUGAACAC
rnacentral:rRNA from 1 species